rnacentral:rRNA from 1 species
UCAAAGAGUCAGGUUGUUUGGGAAUGCAGCCUAAAUUGGGUGGUAAAUCUCACCUAAAGCUAAAUAUUUGCGAGAGACCGAUAGCGAACAAGUACCGUGAGGGAAAGAUGAAAAGAACUUUGAAAAGAGAGUUAAACAGUAUGUGAAAUUGUUAAAAGGGAACCGUUUGGAGCCAGAUUGGCUUGAUUGUAAUCAACCUAGAAUUCGUUUUGGGUGCACUUGCAGUCUAUGCCUGCCAACGACAGUUUGAUUUGGAGGAAAAAAUUAAUAGGAAUGUGGCCUUUCGAGGUGUUAUAGCCUAUUAUCAUACUCUGGAUUGGACUGAGGAACGCAGUGAAUGCCUUUAGGCAAGAUUGCUGGGCGCUUUCGCUAAUAAAUGUUAGAAUUUCUGCUUCGGGUGGUGCUAAUGUUUAAAGGAGGAACUCGUUUAGUAUAUUUUUUAUUCGCUUAGGUUGUUGGCUUAAUGACUCUAAAUGACCCGUCUUGAAACACGGACC